rnacentral:rRNA from 1 species
GACGAACGCUGGCGGCGUGCCUAAUACAUGCAAGUCGAACGCAGUGGGGACGGGUGAGUAACACGUGGGUAACCUCCCCUCAGAGGGGAUACCACUUUGAAACAGGUGCUAAACCGAUACUGAUGGAUGGACCCGCGGUGCAUUAGCUAGUUGGUGAGGUAACGGCUCACCAAGGCCACGAUGCAUAGCCGGACUGAGAGGGUGAUCGGCCACACGGGGACUGAGACACGGCCCAGACUCCUACGGGAGGCAGCAGUGGGGAAUCUUGGGCAAUGGACGAAAGUCUGACCGAGCAACGCCGCGUGAGUGAAGAAGGUGUUCGGAUCGUAAAACUCUGUUGGUAGAGAGGCGGUAUCUAACCAGAAAGCCACGGCUAACUACGUGCCAGCAGCCGCGGUAAUUC